rnacentral:tRNA from 1 species
GCCUUUGUGGUGCAAUGGUCAGCACACUGAGCCGGCAUUUCAAAGGUCCGCGGUUCGAUUCCCGGCGAGGGCG